rnacentral:pre_miRNA from 1 species
UUAACUCAAGUUUGUAUGGAGUUGGCACGUUUGCCUACGUUUGCCGCUAGGGGCGCUGUUCCAACUGCAUACAAAUUUGUGUUA